rnacentral:rRNA from 1 species
AGUGAACGCUGGCGGUAGGCCUAACACAUGCAAGUCGAACGGCAGCACAGUAAGAGCUUGCUCUUACGGGUGGCGAGUGGCGGACGGGUGAGGAAUACAUCGGAAUCUACUUUUUCGUGGGGGAUAACGUAGGGAAACUUACGCUAAUACCGCAUACGACCUACGGGUGAAAGCAGGAGAUCUUCGGACCUUGCGCGAUUGAAUGAGCCGAUGUCGGAUUAGCUAGUUGGCGGGGUAAAGGCCCACCAAGGCGACGAUCCGUAGCUGGUCUGAGAGGAUGAUCCGCCACACUGGAACUGAGACACGGUCCAGACUCCUACGGGAGGCAGCAGUGGGGAAUAUUGGACAAUGGGCGCAAGCCUGAUCCAGCCAUACCGCGUGGGUGAAGAAGGCCUUCGGGUUGUAAAGCCCUUUUGUUGGGAAAGAAAAGCAGCAGGUUAAUACCCCGCUGUUCUGACGGUACCCAAAGAAUAAGCACCGGCUAACUUCGUG